rnacentral:lncRNA from 1 species
CCCCUUCUUAAAUAAACUUCCUUUCCAAGAAAGUAGCAUGCCUACUAACAAUUAUCUUUUAUUCAGUAGACACAUAAAAGUAGUAUCCAAUACUCUCCUGUGGAUAACCUACAAACCUAUAUUUUUUAAAUCUAACACUUAACUUAUGUCCAAAAAUAUUUUUAACAUAAGCUGGGCAGCCUCAAAUCUUAAGAUGCUU